rnacentral:lncRNA from 1 species
CAGCGCACAGCCUGACACCGACCCCAGCCACAGAGGCAAUAAGGCAGACAGGAUGUUAUUCACACGUGCCGAAACGAAGUUAAACCCCCACGCUGCUCAGCCUGCUGUGCCGUGCCCAUUAGGUUCGUGUUCCCUGCGCUGCAGAGCACAGCCUGACACGGAAGAUGCCGUUUUUGGUACGUUCUCUAGUUCACCUUGAGAACAGAAACCAGCGGAGGCAGCGGUUUGAGGUCAGGGGCAAAGGUCUGCUGCUGCUCUCACUCACAAUAGGAAAACGCACAGAUGCGAUUCCUGCCCGCUGCUCGAGGCGGCCAUCUGGACACGGACUGCCCUCAGCUGAAAUGAAGUACUUCAUUCGGGCCUACCGGAUCCUCCGCCUCUGCCAUAGCAGCCAAUGCUCAGUAAGGAUCCCAGGCCAUUUUUAGUGCGUUUCCCCAUCAGUGACUGAGCCUGCAGACCCUGCGUGACCCCACAGGCUGAACGGAACGGAGCAAACAGAGCCGUCAGCACACGCUGAGCAACUGGAGAGAGCCAUUAACAGGUUAGUCAAAAACACCGUCCUUCACUGCGAAAGUUAUUCCUUUCUGGAUGCAGCCGGAGCACUUUGGAUCAUCUCUAUCAGACACCGCAGUAGGACUGAAGCAGAGUGAACUCCAUGAGCGCCAAGCUUCAGCACAUUAAUUGCUGCUCCUCAGGAACCCGAGACGACCAUUUGAAGGCU